AUGUGCAUUGCCAUUGUGAUUUCUCUUCUCAUGAUCCUGAUAUGUGCUAUUGGCUACUUACAGAGCAUACAAGCAACACAUAGCCUAGAUCCUCCCAUUCUUCUGUUACCAGAUCUUUAAUUUUGCCCUGAAUACCUUGGUUGCAAUCACUGUGCUUGUUUAUCCAAACGGCAUUCAGGAAUACAUACGACAACUGCCUCCGAAUUUUCCCUACAGAGAUGAUGUCAUGUCAGUGAAUCCUACCUGUUUGGUCCUUAUUAUUCUUCUGUUUAUUAGCAUUAUCUUGACUUUUAAGGGUUACUUGAUUAGCUGUUUUGGAACUGCUAUCAAUGCCAGGAACUCCUCUGAUGUCCUGACUUACAUUACCAGCAAUGACACUGCCCCUGUAUGAUGAUACCACUGUGAAUGGUGCUGCCAAGGAGCCACCACCACCUUCCAUGUCUGCC
rnacentral:lncRNA from 10 species